AAACUAGGUGAAGAGUUGAGUAUCACCAUGAUGAGUUAACUAGGCAAGUAUUAUGCCACAAUUAUUAUAUUCAUGGAUCAUGAAAUAAUCUUGGAGCCAGAAAACUGGGCUGAGAAGCAGCAAGAUGGUGCAAGAAUGACAUCUAUCCACUUCCAAGUCCAAGGGAAACACAGAUGUAGCCACUGCUGGAGAAGCAGUAUCUUCACUGGACAUCCAGAUCUCCAUUAUAGCAAAAAGGAAGCCUUCAGGGUCUGGAUUUUACAUAGUCCAUCCAUCUGCCUGGAGAGGGAGGAGCACCACACAGACAGGGACCUCACAGGAAGGUGGAGAUAAGAAAGAGAAAUUUCAUAUCCUACUCUAAUGACCAGCUUCCCUGCAGCUUCUGCACUGGAAUCAGAUGUUCCCAACCUGAGACUGACAAUUCUAGAUCACAGAACUCUUGAGUUCCAGGAGGUGGAUUUAUGAAAAAAGGAAUAUGAGAUGCCAAAGCAUCAGAAGGAGAGGGUACCAUUUUCUUAGCUAAUAUUUUACUUUUUCUGUAUCAAAUCCACCUAGACCAUUAUUAAAGGGAACGUUAAUGUGC